GACGAACGCUGGCGGCGUGCUCAACACAUGCAAGUCGAACGGAAAGGCUCCAGCUUGCUGGAGUACUCGAGUGGCGAACGGGUGAGUAACACGUGGGUAAUCUGCCCUGCACUCUGGGAUAAGCCUGGGAAACUGGGUCUAAUACUGGAUAUGACCUUUCUCCUUAUGGGGUUUGGUGGAAAGUUUUUCGGUGUAGGAUGAGCCCGCGGCCUAUCAGCUUGUUGGUGGGGUGAUGGCCUACCAAGGCGACGACGGGUAGCCGGCCUGAGAGGGUGAUCGGCCACAUUGGGACUGAGAUACGGCCCAGACUCCUACGGGAGGCAGCAGUGGGGAAUAUUGCACAAUGGGCGGAAGCCUGAUGCAGCGACGCCGCGUGAGGGAUGACGGCCUUCGGGUUGUAAACCUCUUUCAGCAGGGACGAAGCGUAAGUGACGGUACCUCCAGAAGAAGCACCGGCUAACUAUGUG
rnacentral:rRNA from 1 species